rnacentral:rRNA from 1 species
UACGUAGGUGGCAAGCGUUAUCCGGAAUUAUUGGGCGUAAAGCGCGCGUAGGCGGCUACCUAAGUCGGAUGUGAAAGCCCCUGGCUUAACUGGGGAAGUGCACCCGAAACUGAGUAGCUAGAGUGCGAAAGAGGGUCGCGGAAUUCCCGGUGUAGAGGUGAAAUUCGUAGAUAUCGGGAGGAACACCGGUGGCGAAGGCGGCGACCUGGGUCGACACUGACGCUGAGGCGCGAAAGCGUGGGGAGCAAACAGG